rnacentral:snoRNA from 20 species
AACAUCAUAAUAAUAUCGCGAAUGUACCACUAACAUAUGCAGCUUUUUCUUAAAGUUGUAGGGAAUGGCUAAAUAUUCUAUGCUUUUCCCAUUUUUAGUAGUGCUCAAGCGUAGAUAAAUUGAACGUUGCUGGGCGCCUGAUGUUGAUCGUUUCGAAAUGAAAUAUUGGGAAUCAGCUGUAUCUACAUUU